GACGAACGCUGGCGGCGUGCCUAAUACAUGCAAGUCGAACGCAGUGGGGACGGUUGAGUAACACGUGGGUAACCGCCCAUCAGAGGGGAUAACACUUGGAAACAGGUGCUAAACCGAUACUGAUGGAUGGACCCGCGGUGCAUUAGCUAGUUGGUGAGGUAACGGCUCACCAAGGCCACGAUGCAUAGCUGGCCUGAGAGGACGACCGGCCACACUGGGACUGAGACACGGCCCAGACUCCUACGGGAGGCAGCAGUAGGGAAUCUUGGGAAAUGGAGGAAAGUCUGAUCGAGCAAUGCCGCGUGAGUGAAGAAGGUUUUCGGGUCGUAAAAUACUGUUGUUAGAGAAGCGGUAUCUAACCAGAAAGCAACGGCUAACUACGUGCCAGCAGCCGCGGUAAUAC
rnacentral:rRNA from 1 species